UACGGAGGAUCCAAGCGUUAUCCGGAAUCAUUGGGUUUAAAGGGUCCGUAGGCGGGUUUAUAAGUCAGUGGUGAAAGUCUGCAGCUUAACUGUAGAACUGCCAUUGAUACUGGAAGGCUUGAGUGAAGUCGAGGCAGGCGGAACUGGUGGUGUAGCGGUGAAAUGCAUAGAUAUUACACAGAAUACCGAUUGCGAAGGCAGAUCACUAAUAAAAUACUGACGCUGAUGGACGAAAGCGUAGGUAGCGAACAGG
rnacentral:misc_RNA from 1 species